rnacentral:rRNA from 1 species
CCCUUAGAUGUCCGGGGCCGCACGCGCGCUACACUGAAGGAAUCAGCGUGGCUUUCUCCCUGACCCGAAAGGGUUGGGAAACCCGUUGAAUCUCCUUCGUGAUAGGGAUUGGGGCUUGAAAUUGUUCCCCAUGAACGAGGAAUUCCCAGUAAGCGCGAGUCAUAAGCUCGCGUUGAUUACGUCCCUGCCCUUUGUACACACCGCCCGUCGCUACUACCGAUUGAACGGUUUAGUGAGGGCCUCGGAGUGGUCUCGGCCCGCUCUUUACCGGGCGGCGCCGUUGGUCGCGAAGACGCUCGAACUUGAUCGUUUAGAGGAAGUAAAAGUCGUAACA